rnacentral:rRNA from 1 species
AGUGGCGCACGGGUGCGUAACGCGUGGGAAUCUGCCCUAGGGUGCGGAAUAACUCGGAGAAAUCCGUGCUAAUACCGCAUAAUGUCUUCGGACCAAAGAUUUAUCGCCCUGGGAUGAGCCCGCGUAGGAUUAGCUAGUUGGUGGGGUAAAGGCCUACCAAGGCGACGAUCCUUAGCUGGUCUGAGAGGAUGAUCAGCCACACUGGGACUGAGACACGGCCCAGACUCCUACGGGAGGCAGCAGUGGGGAAUAUUGGACAAUGGGCGAAAGCCUGAUCCAGCAAUGCCGCGUGAGUGAUGAAGGCCCUAGGGUUGUAAAGCUCUUUUACCCGGGAUGAUAAUGACAGUACCGGGAGAAUAAGCUCCGGCUAACUCCGUGCCAGCAGCCGCGGUAAUACGGAGGGAGCUAGCGUUGUUCGGAAUUACUGGGCGUAAAGCGCGCGUAGGCGG